GCCAUGCAUGUCUAAGUAUAAGCAACUAUACAGUGAAACUGCGAAUGGCUCAUUAAAUCAGUUAUCGUUUAUUUGAUAGUACCUUACUACUUGGAUAACCGUGGUAAUUCUAGAGCUAAUACAUGCUAAAAAUCCCGACCUCCGGAAGGGAUGUAUUUAUUAGAUAAAAAACCAAUGCCUUCGGGCUCCUUGGUGAUUCAUGAUAACUUAACGAAUCGCAUGGCCUUGCGCCGGCGAUGGUUCAUUCAAAUUUCUGCCCUAUCAACUUUCGAUGGUAGGAUAGUGGCCUACCAUGGUUUCAACGGGUAACGGGGAAUUAGGGUUCGAUUCCGGAGAGGGAGCCUGAGAAACGGCUACCACAUCCAAGGAAGGCAGCAGGCGCGCAAAUUACCCAAUCCCGAUUCGGGGAGGUAGUGACAAUAAAUACUGAUACAGGGCUCUUUUGGGUCUUGUAAUUGGAAUGAGUACAAUUUAAAUCCCUUAACGAGGAACAAUUGGAGGGCAAGUCUGGUGCCAGCAGCCGCGGUAAUUCCAGCUCCAAUAGCGUAUAUUAAAGUUGUUGCAGUUAAAAAGCUCGUAGUUGAACCUUGGGUUUGGCUGCUCGGUCCGCCUAACCGCGUGCACUGAUGCGGCCGGAUCUUUCCUUCUGGCUAACCUCAUGCCCUUUACUGGGUGUGCUGGGGAUCCAGGACUUUUACUUUGAAAAAAUUAGAGUGUUCAAAGCAGGCCUUUGCUCGAAUACAUUAGCAUGGAAUAAUAGAAUAGGACGGCGGUUCUAUUUUGUUGGUUUCUAGAGCCACCGUAAUGAUUAAUAGGGAUAGUCGGGGGCAUCAGUAUUCAAUUGUCAGAGGUGAAAUUCUUGGAUUUAUUGAAGACUAACUACUGCGAAAGCAUUUGCCAAGGAUGUUUUCAUUAAUCAGUGAACGAAAGUUAGGGGAUCGAAGACGAUCAGAUACCGUCGUAGUCUUAACCAUAAACUAUGCCGACUAGGGAUCGGGCGGUGUUCAACUUAUGACCCGCUCGGCACCUUACGAGAAAUCAAAGUUUUUGGGUUCUGGGGGGAGUAUGGUCGCAAGGCUGAAACUUAAAGGAAUUGACGGAAGGGCACCACCAGAUGUGGAGCCUGCGGCUUAAUUUGACCCAACACGGGGAAACUCACCAGGUCCAGACACAUUAAGGAUUGACAGAUUGAGAGCUCUUUCUUGAUUAUGUGGGUGGUGGUGCAUGGCCGUUCUUAGUUGGUGGAGUGAUUUGUCUGCUUAAUUGCGAUAACGAACGAGACCUUAACCUGCUAAAUAGCCUGGCUAGCUUUUGCUGGUCACCGGCUUCUUAGAGGGACUAUCGGCUCAAGCCGAUGGAAGUUUGAGGCAAUAACAGGUCUGUGAUGCCCUUAGAUGUUCUGGGCCGCACGCGCGCUACACUGACAGAGCCAACGAGUAUAACCCUUAGCCGAGAGGUUUAGGUAAUCUUGUUAAACUCUGUCGUGCUGGGGAUAGGGCAUUGCAAUUAUUGCCCUUCAACGAGGAAUAUCUAGUAAGCGCAAGUCAUCAGCUUGCGUUGAUUACGUCCCUGCCCUUUGUACACACCGCCCGUCGCUACUACCGAUUGAAUGGCUCAGUGAGGCCUUCGGACUGGCUCCAGGAGGUUGGCA
rnacentral:rRNA from 1 species